rnacentral:rRNA from 1 species
GUACGUACAAGCAGUGGGAGCACGCUUAGGCGUGUGACUGCGUACCUUUUGUAUAAUGGGUCAGCGACUUAUAUUCUGUAGCAAGGUUAACCGAAUAGGGGAGCCGAAGGGAAACCGAGUCUUAACUGGGCGUUAAGUUGCAGGGUAUAGACCCGAAACCCGGUGAUCUAGCCAUGGGCAGGUUGAAGGUUGGGUAACACUAACUGGAGGACCGAACCGACUAAUGUUGAAAAAUUAGCGGAUGACUUGUGGCUGGGGGUGAAAGGCCAAUCAAACCGGGAGAUAGCUGGUUCUCCCCGAAAGCUAUUUAGGUAGCGCCUCGUGAAUUCAUCUCCGGGGGUAGAGCACUGUUUCGGCAAGGGGGUCAUCCCGACUUACCAACCCGAUGCAAACUGCGAAUACCGGAGAAUGUUAUCACGGGAGACACACGGCGGGUGCUAACGUCCGUCGUGAAGAGGGAAACAACCCAGACCGCCAGCUAAGGUCCCAAAGUCAUGGUUAAGUGGGAAACGAUGUGGGAAGGCCCAGACAGCCAGGAUGUUGGCUUAGAAGCAGCCAUCAUUUAAAGAAAGCGUAAUAGCUCACUGGUCGAGUCGGCCUGCGCGGAAGAUGUAACGGGGCUAAACCAUGCAC